UACGUAGGAGACGAGCGUUGUCCGGAGUUACUGGGCGUAAAGGGUGCGCAGGUGGUUGUGCGCGUGGGGGGUGAAAUCCCCCGGCUCAACCGGGGAACGGCUGGGUAUACUGGCGGUCUUGAGCCAUCCAGGGGCAGUCGGAACAGACGGUGGAGCGGUGAAAUGCGUAGAUAUCGUCUGGAACGCCGAAGGUGAAAACAGACUGCUGGGGAUGCGCUGACGCUGAGACACGAAAGCCAGGGGAGCGAACGGG
rnacentral:rRNA from 1 species